rnacentral:lncRNA from 1 species
GAAAAAUUGUGUUCGUUGAGAGAAAAUGGAAGGCUUUUCAUUCUACUUCCACAUUUUCAUUCCAGCAGCUUUUCUGUUUUGGAAGGUUCUUAUGCCUUUGUUUGAAAAACAUGGUUCCCUGUGAAAUUUUACAUGUAGAAGACAGCUUCACACUACGAGAGCUCUCAGGAUAUAAUUAUUUCAGACAGAUGCUGGGAACAUAAGAUGGCUUAUCAAUCUAAGAUGGCCUUCCUGUCCUUCGGAUUGAACUGAAACCAUCCCUGAUUCCAGGGAUAGGUAGAUGAUCCAGGUUUGGACAAUCGAAAUAUUGAACCACCCUGGACCUACAAGUGUUUCUGGGAUGGGAACGUGCAAACGUUGGUCCAAAUUGUUGUUCUAGGCAGCCCAGUACAUUUCUCCAAUGCCUGAUGGAAUGAUAGGGUACGCAUAAAUGUUCAUGUGGGCUCUGGAGUAUACCAGGAACUGAAGUAAGGUACAUGGACGUCUUGAAUAUUGUAACUGAGAUGGGCAAGCCUACACCUUUGCAAAUAAAGGAGGAUUGGGAAAGAUUAAGGUACUUCCUAAGCGUGGCUACUCCAAUGAAGCUUUAGUAUAUGUACUGAAAGAAGAUCCUCUCAUACUGCCACAGCCAACAGAUAAGGUUGUAAAUCUUUAUUGGGAGAAGCCGUCAAGGACAGUUCUGUGAAAUGAAAGGAUCUCUGGAUCACCACAAAGUCUGGCUCAGUGACUAUGGCUUUGCUAACACUAAACAUUCCUAUCUCAAGUCCUGUAGAUGGCUUGAAAUAGUAUACAUAAGCAUGCCUUAUAAACAUCUUCAGUCUUUAUCAACUCUUUGGAGAUUCAGCCAUUCUUUU